GAGAAAGCAAAUCUGAAGGUUUUCCUGGUCUGUAGAUGUACCCCAAAGUGUGGAUUUACUGCCACUGUCUGUAGGAAGAAGCUACAGCCCUAAUUUUUGAUGUCAGGGAUGACUGUUAUAUGGUUGGCUUAAUACACAUACUGUGCACUGCUGUUUGUUUAUGUAUUUGCAGUAGGACUCGGGAUAUUUCAGGUACUUUCCAGGUGCUUACAGAUAAUUUCUGCUCCAAGGACUUCACAAAUCAGAGAGGCCAGAGCAAAGUAGAUGGGCGGGAAUUUAGUGCUGAGAAGCAUAACGACAUUCACAGGAUGCAGGGCCAUUGAGAGCUGCGCAAGCGUGUGGUGGAGGUGCUGUGCAGAUAGCGCCUGGUGCCGAGAGCUUCCCUCCUUCCCCCACGUCCUCGCGCGCUCGAACAUCUCCGUUCGGCCUCAUUUUUGUGCUUCGGUGGUGCCCGCACAGCCCAAAUUAGCAGCGAGGAUUCCACGGACGGGGGCCGCCGCCUCCCUCGGCUCCCAGGUGAGCUCCCGGGGCGGGGGGCGGCCGGCAGCGCUCCGGGCU
rnacentral:lncRNA from 12 species